rnacentral:tRNA from 1 species
GGAUUGUGGCUCAGUGGUAGAGCAUUUACCUCCUAUGUGUGAGACACUGGGUUCAAUUCACAGCACCA